AGCGUGGGGGUAGGCUGAGCACCAGCCGUGCCAGCUCCUAGCUGCACCGGCUUGGAUGAGAUGCUUACCUUGCUAAGCUGGGCAUCCUCAGCCUUAAAAGGGAGCCGGGGAAAGUGACCGGUGGGGUAGUGGCAGGGAUUGCAUGGACUUGGGUGUGCCGUCUCCAUGGCAUCUAGCCAGGGGCAAAGGACUGGCAUCCUCGGGAGAUGCUGAAGGAAGACAAGGAUGCCCGGAGCAGAGGACGGGGGCCGGGCCCCCGCAGAUGGAGGUGCAUCUCAGGCUGGUGAAAACAAGAAGCACAGAAGAAAGCAAUUGAGAGAGGGCACAGAAGCCCCGGCACUGGCUCUGGGUGAGCAGGCAUUCUGCCAAGCGCGGCUCUUCCGCUCUCUUCCGCUCGGCUGUAAGGACAGUGACCACGAGCCUCCCUCCCGGCCCCGCCGCCAUCCCCGUUGGCUGGGAGCAGGGCAGGCCUGCUGUCUCGCCCUGCUAUUCCUUCCGACACGUCCAUUCAAGCUCCUGGCCUAGUGCCCGUGCCCGUGGUGCUGAGAGAAGGGAUGGAGACGCAGCUCCGCCCGGGAGGACGGGAGCCAGGGCAGAGGAGGCGGGCCUGGCUUGCAGGCCGCUGUGAACACCGACAGGAGACUUCAGACACCUGCUUAAUCGCAGCUGUGAGCGGCUCCUUCCCAGGCACGGGCUCCAAGCCCAGGCCUUUCUUCUCCAGGCCUGAGGCCCUUGUGUGAUGCCUUUGAAGACCGGGCUUUGUCUGGAAGGAGGCACGACCCCUGCCCCAGCCCUGGAUGCAGGAACCGCCCAGGCCUCCGGGUUUCUCUUCCUGGAACCCUCCACGGCUCCCUCGUGCUGCUGAGUGGGGAUGAGAUGGGGCCUUAGGGGGACCUGACCCUGCUCAGCCCUGCUUGUUAAGGGGGACAGCUGCCUCCACCACCGAGAAGGCCGAGGAAGCGCCUCCAGCUCCCACGAGGAGUGGGACCUCGGGGACAUGUGCUCCAGCCUCCGCGCGUCAGCCAGACGCAUGCUCCCAGGCUCCGUGGGCAGGACCGGGCAGGGCGAGGCAGGAGGACGGAGGAGGGACCCACUGGACCCAGUGGCUCUCAUCUUCUUCUCGUAUCAGGCCUCCUGGGGGGCCUCCGGUCUUUGUGAAGUCCGCAUCUUGAUGCUUCAAUCCAGAGUCUGAAAGAGGAGAGCUGAGGGGAGAAGACGCUGGUUUACCCCGUCAGUGUGCGCCGACUGGGCGCAAGAGGCCCCCGCACGCCAGCUCCGUGCCCGCCGAGACGCGAACAGAAGGAUGGGUGGCUCGUGCUCCCGGCCGUCAGACCCUGAAGCUUGGAAGCAAGAGACUCUGGCACGUCCCCCUCUGCCCAGUGCUGCCACGGCGAGGGGAUCCCUGGAUGCCAGAGGCUGGAAGCUUCUCCCCCGAACGUCCAGAGGGCCUGUGGCCUGCGGGCACCGUGACCUUGGGCGUCUCAGCUGUGGGAGAACACACUCCUGCCUGGUUGAUCUUUUGAGCCGUGGGGUUUGUGGAGUUGUUACGGCGGCGCUAGGAAACGAACCAAACAGCAAAAACCAAGCGUCUUAGAAAACGCCACUGGUCUGAACUUGGACCCCGCAGGGAGGCUGCUGGGCCUGGGGCCGCAUCCUCAGUCUGUGACCAGCAACGGGCUUGGGUCCUGGUGCAGGUACGUCAGACGAGGGCUGGAGCCCCAGUCCCACCAGGAGACCAGGCCUGGGAGGGGCCGAGGCCCUGCCCAGGCAUGUGCCUGGCCCACUCUGGGCACGCUCGCCCAGCGUCUCACAGCAAAAUAUUUAGAUCAGAUGCGGGGAAAGAGAGCAAAGCAGAAAGGACCCUCUUGCAUGCCCCCCUCCCGCCUCCAACCACCUUCCGUGCUGGCCGCUCCCCGCUGUCCGUGCUGAGCUGGCCCAGACACGCAAAUCCACGUGGAUCCUUUCUCAGAGCGUUGAAAUGUUUGGAUGCGGUGCACAGAGCAGACAGGAGCUGCCUCCUCUUUUUCCUGGUUACUUCCGACUAUUCCGGACACGGGGAGGGGUCACCUCCCGUUCCUGAUGAGCAUUUGGACGGGCUGUGGUUUUCACGAGAGGUGCUUCACAUGUUUCUUUGUGACAGGUGACUAGACCUGGGCUGGCUGGCAGGUCGCGGUUUGAUAGCACCUGUCCAUUGUCCUAAUUUACGUUCUCACGGUGGUGGCCUCCUGUGCCCUCACUCUCUGGAACCCGGUAGUAUCAGUCUUCAUGUUUCCCAUGCUCGUGGGGAAAAAAAAUGUCUUAUCCUGGCUUUAAUUCAUAUUUCCCUGAGUUCUGGUGAAGCUGAGUGUGUCUAAUUUCACAUGGAGAGUCUGGGCUCUUCUGCCCUGAACCGCCCACAUCCUGUGUCAUUUACCUCUUAUUGUUGCUGGGUGGGUGCUCUUUAUAUAUUACGGGUUUUAUCAUUUCUAUUUAAAGACCCAGAAAUAUUUUUUUCCAUGUUGUUACUGUCUUUUUAACCUUGUUUAUGGUGACUUUUUAAAAAAGCUUACACACAAA
rnacentral:lncRNA from 1 species